rnacentral:rRNA from 1 species
GUGCCCCCCUCCGCGGUAAUACGGAGGGUGCAAGCGUUAAUCGGAAUUACUGGGCGUAAAGCGCACGCGGGCGGUCUGCCAAGUCGGAUGUGAAAUCCCCGGGCUCAACCUGGGAACUGCAUUCGAAACUGGCAGGCUGGAGUCUUGUAGAGGGGGGUAGAAUUCCAGGUGUAGCGGUGAAAUGCGUAGAGAUCUGGAGGAAUACCGGUGGCGAAGGCGGCCCCCUGGACAAAGACUGACGCUCAGGUGCGAAAGCGUGGGGAGCAAACAGGAUUAGAUACCCUGGUAGUCCACGCCGUAAACGAUGUCGACUUGGAGGUUGUGCCCUUGAGGCGUGGCUUCCGGAGCUAACGCGUUAAGUCGACCGCCUGGGGAGUACGGCCGCAAGGUUAAAACUCAAAUGAAUUGACGGGGGCCCGCACAAGCGGUGGAGCAUGUGGUUUAAUUCGAUGCAACGCGAAGAACCUUACCUACUCUUGACAUCCCAGAGAACUUAGCAGAGAUGCUUUGGUGCCUUCGGGAACUCUGAGACAGGUGCUGCAUGGCUGUCGUCAGCUCGUGUUGUGAAAAUGUUGGGUUAAGUCCCGCAAACGAGCGCAACCCUUAUCCUUUGUUGCCAGCGGUCCGGCCGGGAACUCAAAGGAGACUGCCAGUGAUAAACUGGAGGAAGGUGGGGAUGACGUCAAGUCAUCAUGGCCCCUACGAGUAGGGCUACACACGUGCUACAAUGGCGCAUACAAAGAGAAGCGAACUCGCGAGAGCAAGCGGACCUCAUAAAGUGCGUCGUAGUCCGGAUUGGAGUCUGCAACUCGACUCCAUGAAGUCGGAAUCGCUAGUAAUCGUAGAUCAGAAUGCUACGGUGAAUACGUUCCCGGGCCUUGUACACACCGCCCGUCACACCAUGGGAGUGGGUUGCAAAAGAAGUAGGUAGCUUAACCUUCGGGAGGGCGCUUACCACUUUGUGAUUCAUGACUGGGGUGAAGUCGUAACAAGGUAGCC